UGGCUCAGGAUGAACGCUAGCGGCAGGCUUAAUACAUGCAAGUCGAGGGGCAGCAGGACUGUAGCAAUACAGUUGCUGGCGACCGGCAAACGGGUGCGGAACACGUACGCAACCUACCCAAAACUGGGGAAUAGCCCGGGGAAACCCGGAUUAAUACCUCGUAACCUAUUGGAGUGGCAUCACUUUAAUAGUAUAGCUCCGGCGGUUUUGGAUGGGCGUGCGCCUGAUUAGGUAGUUGGUGAGGGUAACGGCCCACCAAGCCUGCGAUCAGUAACUGGUGUGAGAGCACGACCAGUCACACGGGCACUGAGACACGGGCCCGACUCCUACGGGAGGCAGCAGUAAGGAAUAUUGGUCAAUGGACGCAAGUCUGAACCAGCCAUGCCGCGUGAAGGAUGAAGGUCCUCUGGAUUGUAAACUUCUUUUAUAUGGGACGAAACCCGGGAAUUCUUUCCCGAUUGACGGUACCAUARGAAUAAGCACCGGCUAACUCCGUGCCAGCAGCCGCGGUAAUACGGAGGGUGCAAGCGUUAUCCGGAUUCACUGGGUUUAAAGGGUGCGUAGGAGGGUAGGUAAGUCAGUGGUGAAAUCUUCGAGCAUAACUCGGAAACUGCCGUUGAUACUAUCUAUCUUGAAUACCGUGGAGGUGAGCGGAAUAUGUCAUGUAGCGGUGAACUGCUUAGAUAUGACAUAGAACACCAAUUGCGAAGGCAGCUCGCUACACGAAUAUUGACUCUGAGGCACGAAAGCGUGGAAAUCAAACAGGAUUAGAUACCCUGGUAGUCCACGCCCUAAACGAUGGAUCCUCGACAUACGCGAUACACAGUGUGUGUCUGAGCGAAAGCAUUAAGUAUCCCACCUGGGAAGUACGACCGCAAGGUUGAAACUCAAAGGAAUUGGCGGGGGUCCGCACAAGCGGUGGAGCAU
rnacentral:rRNA from 1 species